rnacentral:lncRNA from 1 species
UGGGGGUGGGGUGGGGCCGGCUUCUGUAUCCCAGGCCUUUCGGAGACCCUUCUCAUACAGCGGCCCUGCCCUGGCCUGUCCCGGAGCGGCCAUCGCGGGGACCCAGCCUGCGUUGCUUGGGGGCGGGGACUUCCCAUCCUUUCGUGCAGCUCCACCCGUGACAACGGCUGCACACGAUGGGCAGGUUGGCCCGGUCUCUUACCUGGAUGUUACUCCACCAGCUGGUCCAGGGUGGGCCUCACAACCCCAAGUCAGCUCCGGUUUGUCCCUGGCACUGCUAUGUCCCCAGCACCGGUAGAAGCUUCCAGGCAGCAGCACUGAUCCUGCCCUAGUCGCUCAGUGCUGCCCCCAGUGGCGGUCAGUGGGGUGGCAUUUAAAGGGGCCGCGCCGAAUGGGGGCUGUGCAGUCGGGCUCAAGACACCAGUGGUCUCGCUAGCCCCUGUUUGGGGCUGUGCAGAGUGCAGGGUGAUGGGUCCCUGUGACUUCCCCGGAGCACAAGCCUCUGAGUCUGAAGAGGACACUCGUGCAUCAAGAUAAGUCUGCAGGUGCCCCCGGCUCCACCUCCAGGGUGUCUGCAGGGAGGGUUCCAGGAGCCCCGAGCCCCUGCCUGACUGUGGAGACUGAAUUUGGGCAGCUUCCGGAAUGUAUGUGUGUGGUUGGACCCAGGUGGAAGCAGAUGGGCGACUCUGUACCCCAUUGGCCUCUCCCCCAGGCACUUUCCUUUUUGGUGCUGGAGACGCCAAAAUCUCGGCAGGUACCUGGGGCCAGAUGGCUUGCUCAGCCUGGAGUGGAGCUGAAGCCUGGAGUGUCCAGGCCAGCCUGGACGGCCACUGCCCGCUUCCUUUGGGGAAGGUAUGCGAUCCACGGAUAAGCCGCAGCUUUAAUCCAGCCCUUGCCCAAGGCAGUGUGCCUGCCAGCAUUCCGGCGUGGUGGAUGUUGGGUCACAGAUGCCCUCAGCCCCGAAGGCUGUCUCCACGCCAGGGGUUCCAAAGCCGGGAACUACAGGGCCAGGUGGUGCUUGUCCCCCAGUACCUGCUCAGCGACCAGCAACCAACUGUCCUAUGCUUCCAAGAUAGUUCCCCAGCUUCGGAAAGCCCUCUAGGCCACAGCCCCC